UUAGGAAUAUUGGACAAUGGGCGAAAGCCUGAUCCAGCCAUGCCGCGUGUGUGAUGAAGGCCCUAGGGUUGUAAAGCACUUUCGUUGGGGAAGAUAAUGACCGUACCCAAAGAAGAAGCACCGGCUAACUUCGUGCCAGCAGCCGCGGUAAUACGAAGGGUGCAAGCGUUGUUCGGAAUCACUGGGCGUAAAGAAUGCGUAGGCGGCUUAGCAAGUCAGGAGUGAAAUCCCAGGGCUCAACCCUGGAACUGCUUUUGAAACUGCUUUGCUAGAGUCCCGGAGGGGUUAGCGGAAUUCCGAGUGUAGAGGUGAAAUUCGCAGAUAUUCGGAGGAACACCAGUGGCGAAGGCGGCUAACUGGACGGGAACUGACGCUGAGGCAUGAAAGUGUGGGGAUCAAACAGG
rnacentral:rRNA from 1 species